AAGCCCGCGAGGUCUUGUCCGAAGGAAGUCGGAGUGCAAAAGUGCGAGCCGACGGACAGAAAUCGCAUAGAAGGUCCAGUGCGCUGGUGAUUCAGCACUUGAUGACAAAACCCACAGGUACGGUGCAUACCAUGAUCUACACGCAUGUGAUGAACAAGGGCGGGCGGGGAGUGCAUAGC
rfam:Betaproteobacteria bacterium RIFCSPLOWO2_02_FTLL_62_17 rifcsplowo2_02_scaffold_11502, whole genome shotgun sequence.